rnacentral:rRNA from 1 species
GACGAACGCUGGCGGCGUGCUUAACACAUGCAAGUCGAACGGAAAGGCCCCUUCGGGGGUACUCGAGUGGCGAACGGGUGAGUAACACGUGAGUAACCUGCCCUUGACUUCGGGAUAACUUCAGGAAACUGGGGCUAAUACCGGAUAGGAAUCCUUGCUGCAUGGUGGGGGUUGGAAAGCUUCGGCGGUUUUGGAUGGACUCGCGGCUUAUCAGCUUGUUGGUGGGGUAGUGGCUUACCAAGGCCUUGACGGGUAGCCGGCCCGAGAGGGCGACCGGCCACAUUGGGACUGAGAUACGGCCCAGACUCCUACGGGAGGCAGCAGUGGGGAAUAUUGCACAAUGGGCGGAAGCCUGAUGCAGCAACGCCGCGUGCGGGAUGACGGCCUUCGGGUUGUAAACCGCUUUCAGCAGGGGCGAAGCUUGUGGUGACGGUACCUGCAGAAGAAGCACCGGCUAACUACGUG